rnacentral:tRNA from 1 species
GCCGCUGUGGUGAAAUUGGUAGACACGCACGACUCAAAAUCGUGUGAGGCAACUCAUGUCGGUUCGAUUCCGACCAGCGGCA